AGCCUUUGACAUGUCCCGUAUGGAUUUUGGAGACAGGAUCCUUCAGUUCGGCUGGCGGGAACACAGGUGCUGCAUGGCUGUCGUCAGCUCGUGUCGUGAGAUGUUGGGUUAAGUCCCGCAACGAGCGCAACCCUCGCCCCUAGUUGCCAUCAUUGAGUUGGGCACUCUAGGGGGACUGCCGGUGAUAAGCCGCGAGGAAGGUGGGGAUGACGUCAAGUCCUCAUGGCCCUUACGGGCUGGGCUACACACGUGCUACAAUGGCGGUGACAAUGGGCAGCGAACCCGCGAGGGGGAGCUAAUCCUCAAAAGCCGUCUCAGUUCGGAUUGCACUCUGCAACUCGAGUGCAUGAAGGCGGAAUCGCUAGUAAUCGUGGAUCAGAACGCCACGG
rnacentral:rRNA from 1 species